UGAUAGCUCAGUCAGUAGAGCACGAGACUCUUAAUCUCAGUGUUGCGGGUUCAAGCCCCACAUUGGGCAAAG